CGAGGGAAGAACCUUACCUGGCCUUGACAUGGUGAGAACUUUCCAGAGAAAGAUUGGUGCUUCGGGAGCUCAGACGCAGGUGCUGCAUGCUGUCGUCAGCCUGGGGGCGAGAGAUGUUGGGUUAAGUCCCGUAACGAGCGCAACCCUUGUCCUUAGUUACCAGCACGUUAUGGUGGGCACUCUAAGGAGACUGCCGGUGACAAACCGGAGGAAGGUGGGGAUGACGUCAAGUCAUCAUGGCCCUUACGGCCAGGGCUACACACGUGCUACAAUGGUCGGUACAAAGGGUUGCCAAACCGCGAGGUGGAGCUAAUCCCAUAAAACCGAUCGUAGUCCGGAUCGCAGUCUGCAACUCGACUGCGUGAAGUCGGAAUCGCUAGUAAUCGUGAAUCAGAACGUCACGGUGAAUACGUUCCCGGGCCUUGUACACACCGCCCGUCACACCAUGGGAGUGGGUUGCUCCAGAAGUAGCUAGUCUAACCCUCGGGAGGACGGUUACCACGGAGUGAUUCAUGACUGGGGUGAAGUCGUAACAAGGUAGCCGUAGGGGAACCUGCGGCUGGAUCACCUCCUU
rnacentral:rRNA from 1 species